AAUAAAACUGCGGGAUAUUGUUGUGGAAGACCCUGACUUCCAAAAUGGAAAUCAGACCUGGGGGCUGAAAGGCUGCUCAGUUAAUUCCAUUCUGUGUGAGUGAGGAACAGGCACUUCAGAAGAAAUGCUUCUUUUAAUUGCAGUCCAACUUUCCGUGAGAAUUCGAUUCUUUUUCCUCCUGAACAAGAUUUCAUCCUGCCUUCAAAACCGCAGCCUUCUGGAUCGCACCCGCAGGAUGUCACAGGAUUAUUUUUGCUGAGGGAGGGAGGCCCAGUUCUCCAGAAAUACCUCUAUCUUCCUGCUGCCCGAGCUGUACUCGCCUGAUCUUUGAGACACAUAAUCUAAGUGGCCCCGCAUCGUUGGAGCCCAAUUUAAUGCCAAGCUGUAAAUUGAAGGAUCAGAAGCGCCUAGCCACAAUGAAAUCUUGCGCACAGAUUAGGGAGUCCUGGCCGAGCAGCCCUAGAAAUUGAACUGGGGGACUGGACUAAAUCAAUUUGAUUCACCCAAAGGGCAGAGCUGCUACUGAAAUGCAAAAAAAAACCAGAAGGAUCUCCCAUUACCAUGCACCUAGGAAAGGGGGUAAGCCAUUCAAUAGUGUAGCCUGAGCUUUUCUAGCUGAAACGUCCCAAACACCGACUCGACUCCCUGUCUGUUCCUUUAUUCCCCUUUGUUUUCCUUCCCCUCCCUUCCAUCAGCUUGGGUGGUAUUUUUAGGCUCCAGCCUAAAAAGAUGUAAUGAUGGUCCUGAAAAGGGAAUUGGCUUCUAUACAAACCCUAGAGCGGAGCCGGACCAGCUGCACAUCUGUUCCUUGGCACACAACCCAGGCACGUCAGGGUAGUGUAGGUGUAGGGAGAGGGGGGUGUCGGGAGCAGGACUCCCCUGGAGGACCGGUGCACGUGUGGGACCUCCCUGCAGCCCCUUGGUGGAGAAAGAAGGGCAUCGGGAUUAAAAGCUAUUGACAGACAAUCUAUUGUGCUACCUUUCUGACUUGUGCUCGGAUUAUCUGCCUCUCACAGGAGAAGUUGGUGAUGGGGAGCUCCUUCAUGCACUCGUUUCAUGCUCAGCUCCCAAGUGGAGGGGGACAGGGAAGGAGGGAGACCAAGCCAUGAGUCUUGCUCCCGUAGCUCCAGGGGCUGCUCAAGGGGCAAGAUUUUACAGGUAACAGUGAGUCGCCCUUGUUCUGGCACUAAUAUCAGUUCUGUUAUCACCUCUAGUAUCAGUUCUGGCUUUGAUAUGGGUCCCAGGACAUUAACAAUAGCUGGUAGGAGAUGGCUUCCCACAAGACAGUCAGCAAAGCAGAAUAUCAGAAUUCAGCUGUGGGUUCCUCAAAUUCAAAGCAGUACGAGAUGUGGAACAGAUUAGAGGCUGGAUCAUACAAGCCACAAACCACAUUAAAAGUAUAGGAACUACAAUAGGUAUUCUGCUCUCACACUUAAACACAAUCCUGAAUGAAAGGAUUUCCCCUGCCUCCAGCCCUUCUCCCCCUAAAAAAAAAAGGAUUUCUGUCUCCAGGAAAUGCAAUCCAGUUACAUGAAGCUCCUUGGGUACCGUGAGCAUCUUUGCAUAACAAUGUCAUGUCAAACAAAUUCCUGCCUGCUCCUUGUCUGCUGCCUGAUGUAUUGUACCCCCAAACAGUUUUGACUACCUGCCGCCUCCGAAACACCUGAUGGCUGUGGAAUCAGCAAUCGCAGAAGCAGCUGUGAAAUGAAAAGUAAAACAGGGUGGGAGAAGGAGGGGAGAAACCAACUGACUGGGUGCUGAUGCUGGGAGGGUGGAGGGGAGAGAAAGCCUGUCUGAGAAUGGGUUUUGUCCUCCUGCCCCCAGCUGAGGAACAAUGUCUCAAGUGCCAUACUGAUGACUGUGGAAGGGAUUUUGGAUUACUAAUGAUUGUUAAUCAGUUUGGUAGCAAUACUGGUCAGCACUUGGUAAGAGGGAGGAUUUGCUCCUCUAGAGACGAGAGCCCUCCCUCAGCUGCAGUCCCACCGUUAGCUGCAGAUGUGUGUGUGGAGGGGUGGGAGGAGGACAAAGAGGAUGUUUUGGUACUGAAUGCUGGAUGCUCAGGCACCACGAAGGCUCUGGCAGCACCCGCAUCCUCCUGGGUGCUGUGCUGGGUCCCUGGGAGAUGGGGAAUCAGGGUUCCCAGCAUCUCCAGUGCAGAAGUAAUUAAAGCCUUGCCUGCCUGCCACAGAGCAUAUGGGACAAGUUAGCAGAGUAAUUAAAUUUUGCAAAGUAUAAUUGUCUAGACUGGGAGGGGUGAACACGGAUGUUUGCACGGAGGCUUUUUUGGAUGAGGAAAUCUGGAGUUUUCGCACCAAAGCUGAAGUUCAUCGUUUCCAAGGGAGUCAUCCUGGAGUCCUGCCUCACCUGCAGAACCUGAGUGCGGCAUUGCUUUUUCCCAGGAAGCCACCAACCACACAGCUUGGGAUAGCUGGCUCGUGCUGUAAACUCUUCUGACAGCCUGGGCCCUCAGAGGCUCUGCUCAGCAGGAGGAGCGAAGGACUGCAAGGACAGGAGCCGUGAUUGUGGGCAUGAGGUGAAGCAGAAAAAAGCAAAGUGAAGUGUCUCAAAUGCUGGAGAGAGGACUGUUGCUGGAGCUGAAGCUGUGGGAUGACAGGCAUAGAUUUCACAGCUACCAAUCAGCCUCACUCCAGCUGCAGUAAUAACGUGUGGGAUGGCAGUUGCCUCCAGUGGCUGUUUAAAUUAAACACAGAUCUACUGAAUAGACACCGAGUGCCAAGAGAUCCCUUUCGGGAGAAGAACAUGUGUUCUGAAAACCUGUAGCGGUGUCACCUUCAAGCUGUCAUUUCAGGUGGAUAUUGCAAGCGAGGUACAGCCAGCCCAGCUUAUGAUUUGCAUGGGAGACAUCCGAAACACUACAGGUAAUUCAGAUGAUGUUAUGUCCUCCCUGGAGGCAAGGCUGACUCCAGGCCCAGCAAAGCGCCAGCCAGCACACUGCACAUGUCUGCAGGUGAAGCCAAGCAACAUCAUGGGUGGUGCACAGCCAUGGAAAGCUCUAGGAAGCAUUUGCUUGGAGCUGCAUUUAUAAAUACAGCCAAGUUGUGCUAGUGACAUCUCUGAAUAUGUGCAAUUUGUGAUGUAGGUGUGAGCUUGAGCAUGUUGGGUCCCUGGAGCUGCCUGUUCUUGGCGCUGUCUGUGGCUGCCCUGUGCUGAGAGCAACAAGCAUCAGUUGAAUCAGCUCUCCCACCCUCCCAUACUGCUCUCUCCUUACACUCCUUACCCCUGCCUUGAUGGGAUGGCCCCACCGCUUUAUCCAGCCCUUGGGAUGCUGACUCCAGCAGCAUUUCCCAGCCCGGACCCAAGGGGUUAAGGUGGGAUGUUAACUUCAAAGCUGGGCGCGAAUGGGAUGUGAGCAGCGCGGGUCACGGAUGUCCUCGCGGGCAGCUCCCUUCUCUCCAUGCUGCCAAGAGCAGAUGUGGCGUAAAAGCUUCCUCUCAGAGAGGGCAUGAUUAAUCUCUGCUUCUUAGAGGAUGACAAAUAUAUUAUAUUCGCCGACAUGCACACGCAUUCUCUUCGCCUGACAGGUGACCCCUGUCUUAAUGCCAAGCGCGCGAGGUCCAGCUCUGUAAACGAAGAGGAGAGCUUUGCAAGCUCAUUAAUGCUUUGAAGUCGCUCAUUAGAAGCAGAUUCCUCUGGAGCUGGCGAGCGCAACACCCUUUGUGAGCACGGCUUCGUUUGAUACUAAUGCGGGUGCUGCAGCUGGAGGCAUCCGGGGAUGCUGGGCUGGGAUCCUGCACACGCGGACCCGCACAGCGUGUUGCUGUGGCUGUGAUGGGAAGAGCAGAGGGAAGCAGGGAAAGCUGCUGUCCCCUUCUGGCACCCAAAGGGGUGAAUUUCCUCCUGGCAAGGAUUUUGCUUGUGGAUGGAUUAACCCUUUCCUCUGCUGAGCUGAGGACCUGCAGCACCCUGCAGUGGGGUGCCUGGGGUCUCUGCCUUGCUCCCCAGCAAGGUGAUAUGGACCGCAUCAGCUCUGAAGGCUAGGCUGUCCCCUCAAUGUUACCCUUUUCCGAGAGCUAAAAACACAAUUUUCUGGUCAGUGACUCUCACUCCUGCACCCACUGGCUGCAAGCCCUCUGAUUAGCUCAGGCACCCCCAAGCAUUUUUGUGAGCAGCCCCUGGGGAAGCGAGGAGGGAAUUGCUCAGCUCCAAGUAGGUCAGACACAACAAGCACCAUCCCCUUCACCUACAGAGACACCCCCUUCUGGUUGUGGGACGUGUCCCCAAAUGUUUUAGCUUACUGGAGCCAAAAAAAGGCUUCCCACAAACUGUCGGACCAGCCUGGGUCUGCAUCUUCCCAGCCCUUCCCAUGGAGGAGGAGGCUCCAGCAUGUCCUCAGCAGAGAGUGGCUGAAACAGACAGAAAGCACCAGGCUCCUGUGGCUUAAGGGCUAAAGACUUAGUGAAUGCAGCCUUGUUUUGAGGCUGUGGGUUUGAAUCCCAUGUGACUCAACAAAAAUGUUUUUUGUUGCUGUUGUUGCUUUUGUUUGUUUUUCCUACAGGGCAAAGCAAAAGCACAAAAGGUACACCUCACCCCAAAGAGAAAAGGAGGACACCCAUGCCCCACAGUUUUUCCUGGCUAAACACUCCACUUGAGCCCCCACUGCAGCCCAGAGGGGGUGAGGAGCAGGACACGAGGAGGAAGAGUGAUGCUUUAACCAUUCAGCUGGUCUGGCUGAGCACUGGCAGGCUGGCAGAGCUGCUCCUGUACCCCCCAAACACCCCGUGGAGUCAGGCUGACACCCCCCAGAGAUGUCCCUCAUGCCUGGAGGUGUUAUCACUGUUGUCUGUGGUCCUUUUCUGAGGUCCUGGCAUGGCACGUGGGUGUUGUGCCACUCCCCAUGGCCCUGAGAGCUGGCACUUCCCAGUGAGGUGUUUGGUUGGGGUGUGCCAGCUGGACUGAGCAGAGAUUUGCUUCUUGAUGAUGGGUGCCAGGACAUGGGAGCAAAACUGUGAUGUUAUGGAAAGCUCAUGGGGUAGGAAAGCAUUUCUUGUGGGGUACAAGGAGAGGGAGCAAGGAGGCUUUCUCACUGUGCCUCACCAGAGGCCAGCUCAACAGAGAACUUCAAUAAAGCAAUGAGGAGGGGAAGAUGUUUUGGGCUCAGGAAGUCCCCCAGGCUGGGACCCCGAUGGCUUGGCAGGGUGUGUGUCCUUCAGGGGAGACCUGGCAGGCCAGGGGGCAGCAGGCAGCCCACCAGGAUGGCCGAGUGGUGAAGGCGUUGGACUUAAGAUCCAAUGGGCGCAUGCCCGCGUGGGUUCGAACCCCACUUCUGGUAGGAAUCUCCUUUUUUUGGCAGUCCACACCUCCCCGUCCUGGCUUUUAGAGCAUCUGUCUGGAGCAGAGAGGGGAGCCCUUAGCCCUGUGCUGUGCCUUGGGGGCCAAAACCAUUCGGUGUCCCAGUGAGAGCCCUUUGGUGGGACUGAGCCCCCUUAUCACCCAGGCUGAAUGUGGGGAGAUGUGAGCCAGGCGCUCUGGCACAGGGCUUACGGCUCUUGUCCUUCAUGCAGGGAGUGCUGAGAUUGUCGUGGGCUUGAAUCCCACGUACUCCCAAAAUAGAGACAUCUUUUUCCCAAGAGAGAAUUAGAAAAACCUGACUGUCCUGAAGGAGAUAAAAAAAAAAGACAUUGAGCUCUAAACAGCUUGGGGAAGUCACAAGUGGAAAUGGGUGCAAAGAAGAUGGGUUUGGGGUUCACAGAGACUGCUCCGUGCUGGCUUCUCUUGCCAGCUCUGCUCUGUGACCCCAGACUCAUGGCUUGGCUCAUCCAAGGCACCAUUUGGCACUCUCCAGAGGGAUUUGGCAGGGUCACAAGCCCCUGGAGCUUGCAGCAUGGCAAGAGGGGUUUCCUGAUGCUGCAGGUUAAGCUGGGGAAAUGCAUGAGAAACUGAGGGCUGCUCCUGGGCUAGCGUGUCCUGGGCUGGCACUUAAAUACUCUUGGGCGAUGUUUCUCUUCCUCUUGUGCACGGGUGGGCACCAGAAACUUCCUUUUGUAAAGGUUUAGCCCUCCGGACCCGUGGAGAUGCUGUCAGGCUUUCAUUUGGCUGCUUUGCUCCAGCCUGAGGCCAAUCGGAAAUGUCCUACUGCUGGGACAUGAUUUGAAGUGAUGGUGUUAAUUUGGUUAAUUAGGAUUCCCGGGUAGCGUGUGCGUCUUGCAAAUCGGCUUACCAUUGUAGUGUCACUGCAAAGAGUUAUUUGCUGGUGCAUGGGGUUAUGUAUGAAUUUAUGAUUAUGAUGUAGGACCAUUAAUUUCAUGUUUGUGGCAGAUGAUACAGCUCAAUUAGAAGUUGCACGUUACGAUCCUUGGCUCUCUCUGAUAGAUGGAAAUCAGACGGUGGCCUGCAGGAGGGAUCACGGGGCCUGUAACAGUGGCCCUAUAACAAGUGGGGCAGGACCCAGAGGAGAGGACAGGGGAGGAAUUACCCUGCUCUUCUCCCAUUCGAUUAGUUCUGGGAGUGAAAUUCUGUGUGUUUGCCACAGCCAGCUUGUUGCAACUAACCUCAGUUGUUAAGUGAUGCAAAGAAUGACAAAUCCAUCUCUGAGAGCAUCCCAGGGGGUCUCAGCAGCACUGCGGGUCAAGUCUUUUACCUCUGAUGGCUUGGAGUCAGACUUCUGUCUAGUCCAUGUGUCAGAGGCGUUCGCUGGCCUCCGCUGAGUUCAAAGCUGAAAUCACCUCAUUUGAGCUUCUCUGUUGAUCCCUAUUCUC